rnacentral:rRNA from 1 species
UGCCCUAGUAACGGCGAGUGAAGCGGCAACAGCUCAAAUUUGAAAUCUGGCCUCGGCCCGAGUUGUAAUUUGCAGAGGAAGCUUUAGGCGCGGCACCAUCUGAGUCCCCUGGAACGGGGCGCCAUAGAGGGUGAGAGCCCCGUAUAGAUGGACGCCUAGCCUGUGUAAAGCUCCUUCGACGAGUCGAGUAGUUUGGGAAUGCUGCUCAAAAUGGGAGGUAAAUUUCUUCUAAAGCUAAAUACCGGCCAGAGACCGAUAGCGCACAAGUAGAGUGAUCGAAAGAUGAAAAGCACUUUGAAAAGAGGGUUAAAUAGCACGUGAAAUUGUUGAAAGGGAAGCGCUUGUGACCAGACUUGCGCCGGGCGGAUCAUCCGGUGUUCUCACCGGUGCACUCCGCCCGGCUCAGGCCAGCAUCGGUUCUCGCGGGGGGAUAAAGGCCCUGGGAACGUAGCUCCUCCGGGAGUGUUAUAGCCCAGGGCGCAAUGCCCUCGCGGGGACCGAGGUUCGCGCAUCUGCAAGGAUGCUGGCGUAAUGGUCAUCAGCGACCCGUCUUGAAACACGGACCAAGGAGUCAAGGUUUUGCGCGAGUGUUUGGGUGUAAAACCCGCACGCGUAAUGAAAGUGAACGUAGGUGAGAGCUUCGGCGCAUCAUCGACCGAUCCUGAUGUUUUCGGAUGGAUUUGAGUAGGAGCGUUAAGCCUUGGACCCGAAAGAUGGUGAACUAUGCUUGGAUAGGGUGAAGCCAGAGGAAACUCUGGUGGAGGCUCGCAGCGGUUCUGACGUGCAAAUCGAUCGUCAAAUCUGAGCAUGGGGCGAAAGACU